rnacentral:rRNA from 1 species
UACGGGGGGGGCAAGCGUUGUUCGGAAUUACUGGGCGUAAAGGGCUCGUAGGCGGCCAACUAAGUCAGACGUGAAAUCCCUCGGCUUAACCGGGGAACUGCGUCUGAUACUGGAUGGCUUGAGGUUGGGAGAGGGAUGCGGAAUUCCUGGUGUAGCGGUGAAAUGCGCAGAUAUCAGGAAGAACACCCGUGGCGAAGGCGGCUCUCUGGGACGGUACUGACGCUGAGACGCGAAAGCGUGGGGAGCGAACAGG